GGACUCAAAACGAGUGCUCUAUGGAUUGAACAUAAAAUGUAGUAUAAACAAGUGUUAUGUUUUUAAAUGCCACUAAUAAUGUGUUUCUGUUUUCUUUCUCAUUAUGCUAACAAACACUCUUUUACCCCUCAUGUUAGGUAGAUCAACACUCCAACCAUCUGCAUUAGGGACUGAAUAAAGGAUGCCCUCUGUAGCUGGGAAUGUUAGAUCAGGCGGAUCAACAUUCCAUCCAUCUGCAUUAGGAUCUACCUUAGAGACACUCACUGGAGCUGUAAAUGGGAAGCAGGUCACUUACUUUGCAUUCGUCCUUGGUGGUCACCCAAGGGUCUCUAGAGUGAAAAUUACUCAAUCUAUGGAUUAAACAGAAAAUUUAGUUGUAUGAAGUGGUAUGUUGUCUUUAAAUGCCAUUAAAAAUGUGUUUCUGUUUUCUGUCUCAUAUUAAGAAAUACUCUUU